rnacentral:rRNA from 1 species
AUGUUCUUGAAAUUUAAAAAAUUUGGCGGUAUUUUAGUCUUUUUAGAGGAACCUGCCCUAUAAUUGAUGAUCCACGAUUAAUUAUACUUAAAUUAAAAGUUUAUAUAUCGUCGUAGUUGAAUACCUUAAAAGAGUUAAAGUAUUCAUAAUUUAUAAUUUAAUAAAAUAAAUCAGAUCAAGAUAUAGCAUAUAUUUAAGAAGAGGUGGGUUACAAUAAAUUUAUUUUUGGUUAUAAUAAUUAAAAUUAUUAUUUAAAUUGGAUUUGAAAGUAAAUUAUUUUAAUUAAAAUAUUUGAUUUAAGCUCUGAAAUAUGCACAUAUCGCCCGUCGCUUCCAAUAAAUUUUUAAAUUGGAAUAAGUCGUAACAUAGUAGGUGUACCGGAAGGUGUACCUAGUUUGUCAAAUUAAAGCUUUAAAGAAGUAAUUUAUUUACAUUAAACUGACAAUUGUGAAAAUCAAUUUAAUUUGAAUUUUAAAAUUUAUUAUUUAUUUUUAUUUAUAAUUUUUUUAAAAAAAAUAUUUUUUUAUUUUUGUAUUAAUUUAGAUAAAAUUUUUAUUAAUGAUAGUUAAUUAGUAUAGUGAUAGAAUAUUGAAAAAUUUGAAAAUUAUGAAUUUUUAAAAGAAAAAUUUAUUUUUUGUACCUUGUGUAUCAGGGUUUAUUAAUUAUUAGUUAUUUAUUUUAAUUUUCUCGAAUUUAAAAGAGCUAAUAAAUUAUAUAUUUUAUUGUAAAAUAAAUAUUUAAAAUAAUUUAUUAGUAAUGAAACGUUAUUCGUUUUUAAAUUUAUCUAGUUUUUUAAGAAAUAAAUUUAAUUUAGUUAAUUAUUUAAUUUAAAAUAAUUUUAUAUUUUAUAUUUAUAUAAUUAAUUAAUAUUUUAAGGGAUAAGCUUUAAAAUAAAGAUUUUAUAAAUUUUGAAAUUUAAUUAUAAAUAAAUAGGGUUAGAAUUUUUUAUUUUUAAUAGUAUGUUAUAAUAAAUUUAUAUUUUAUAUUAGAUUUUUCUAUAAUUUUAAAUUUUUUAUUAAAAUUAUUUAUUUAGUUUGAAAAUAUAUGUAAUAAUGAUAAAAUUAGUAUAAAGAAAUUGUUUAUUAAAUUUAAAGUUUAAGGUUAAAUUAAGGAACUCGGCAAUUAAUUUUUUUGCCUGUUUAUUAAAAACAUGUCUUUUUGAUUAUAAUUUAAAGUCUAGCCUGCCCUAUGAAGAUUUUUAAAUGGCCGCGGUAUUUUGACCGUGCAAAGGUAGCAUAAUCAUUAGUUUCUUAAUUAGGAACUGGUAUGAAUGGUUGGACAAGAAAAAUUCUGUCUCAAUUUAAUUUAAAUUAGAAUUUUAUUUUUAAGUUAAAAAGCUUAAAUAAUAUUAAAAGACGAGAAGACCCUAUAGAGUUUUAUAUAAAUUAUUUAAUUUAAAUAUUUAAGUAUUGAAAUUUUAAUUUAAUAAUUUUAUAUUUAAUUGGGAGUGAUUAAAAAAUUUAUAUAACUUUUUUUGAAUUAAAACAUU